rnacentral:rRNA from 1 species
AGAACGAACGCUGGCGGCAUGCCUAACACAUGCAAGUCGAACGAGACCUUCGGGUCUAGUGGCGCACGGGUGCGUAACGCGUGGGAAUCUGCCCUUGGGUUCGGGAUAACAGUUGGAAACGACUGCUAAUACCGGAUGAUAUUUUCGGAUCAAAGAUUUAUCGCCCAGGGAUGAGCCGCGUAGGAUUAGCUUGUUGGUGAGGUAAGAGCUCACAAGGCGACGAUCCUAGCUGGUCUGAGAGGAUGAUCAGCCACACGUGGGACUAGAGACGACCGGCCCAGACUCCGUACGGGAGGCGAGCGAGGUAGGGAAGUAGUGGAACAAGUGGGACGUAAAGCCGUGACUCCGAGGAC